GACGAACGCUGGCGGCGUGCUUUAUACAUGCAAGUCGAACGAUGAAGUUCCUUCGGGAAUGGAUUAGUGGCGAACGGGUGAGGAACACGUGAGAAACCUGCCUUUCAUUCUGGGAUAACACCGGGAAACCGGUGCUAAUACCGGAUACUCCGUCUUGGCGGCAUCGCCGAGCCGGGAAAAAAUUUUGAUGAAAGAUGGUCUCGCGGCCUAUCAGCUAGUUGGUGAGGUAAAGGCUCACCAAGGCGACGACGGGUAGCCGGCCUGAGAGGGCGACCGGCCACACUGGGACUGAGACACGGCCCAGACUCCUACGGGAGGCAGCAGUAGGGAAUAUUGGGCAAUGGGCGCAAGCCUGACCCAGCGACGCCGCGUGAGGGAUGAAGGUCUUCGGAUUGUAAACCUCUUUCAGUAGGGAAGAAGCGAAAGUGACGGUACCUAAAGAAGCACCGGCUAACUAUGUGCCAGCAGCCGCGGUAAUAC
rnacentral:rRNA from 1 species